UGAUAAGUAACAACCACACACAGGAUAAGUUUAACUAAAGGAGUCAAUGGCCGAUGCAGUCCCCAUAAAAUUCCCACCACCAAGUCACCCCUGAACCAUCACCAUAGCCCCUUGCCAUGUGUUUUAAAUGAUGCAAAACAUCACCGUGGUAUUUACAUCAAGGGAAACUGAAAACACUCAAACGCUCAACGCAAGGAGAGCGGACUUGGCUGCAAUCUAUUCGCCGUUGCUAAUUGUGAGCACCCUCAGCUGCAGCCUGGGGUCCUGAGCACCCACAAGGUGAGCAUCUCACAGAGGCGCUGAGCCCGCAGCUCCAGCUUGAACUGGUCUCGC